rnacentral:misc_RNA from 1 species
UCCGGUUUAACACCGGCGGUCUCCUUAGAGUGCCCAACUGAAUGGUGGCAACUAGGGAUAGGGGUUGCGCUCGUUAAGGGACUUAACCCGACAUCUCACGAUACGAGCUGACGACAGCCAUGCAGCACCUGUCUCCCGGUGUAUUGCUACAAAGCCCUAUCUCUAGGGCGGUCCGGGGAUGUCAAACCCAGGUAAGGUUUUUCGCGUUGCAUCGAAUUAAACCACAUGCUCCACCGCUUGUGCGGGCCCCCGUCAAUUCCUUUGAGUUUUAACCUUGCGGCCGUACUUCCCAGGCGGGGUACUUAAUGCGUUAGCGUCGACACUGCAGGGGUCAAUUCCCGCAACAUCUAGUACCCAUCGUUUACAGCGUGGACUAC